rnacentral:lncRNA from 1 species
GACAUAAGGCAAGUUCAUCAGCUUACAGUGAGGCUCUUUUGGAGAUUUUAAGAGCUGUUUGCAGAAAAGAUCUGCUCUCAUGAGGAG